GAUUCAAAGGGCAUCGUGAGAGAUGUUGAAAUUCUUGUUGUGCCUGGGGGCUGUGUGUUGGUCCAGCCUCAGAAGCCUGAAAUCCAGCACUUAGCCUCUGGCGACGGGAAGGAAAAGCCUAUUGGAGUGGUAUUGCGCAGGGAUGUCCGGCGACUUGUAGUCCUGUUGCCUGUGGAGGAGCAGGAAAAUUAAAACUCUUUAGGGUCUAUAUUCGCCUUGAAGUUCUCCAACCUUUCUGUUCAAGAACAAAAAGGUUGAGUGGGAGGUGUUGCGAUGAACGUCAUUCCAGCAAGUGGUUACGUCGUUCACGCAAGUGGUCAUGCGGAACCAAAGUUUACUCACCUGUGUGCACCCGAGGGGAAGGCAUUAACGGACGCACCUGCUCUUUAUUUGGGAUAAAGUCGGCAAAACGCAUUGGUAGCGCGACAAGCAAAGGGUCAAAUCUACACCAAGUGCUUCUGGAACUGUGCUGUGAUUGUGUACUGAAAAGUAGACUCUGAACGGACAGCCGGUUUUUCACCUGUAAAUGCCUGGCUUGAGGAAAGCGAAGAUAAAAUAAAAAAGG